ensembl:lncRNA
GUUGCAAACAAACAGCCGGCUUCGUGCUUUUUUAAAAGCGUUUAGUUUACUGUUGUUGGUAUUCCAAAAAAAAAAAAGGAAGACGCAUACUACAAACUCCUAUGUUUUAUUCAUGAAGCUGCCAAUUUAGCGGGGCUGCGCGGGGGCUCCCUCGACGCCUCUAAUUAGUUUCUCCCUACCUCCGUCUCGGUAGGACUCGCAGGGUGUGGGGAGACGCAGGGUGUGUGGUGUUGUGACCGCAGCCGGGCUCAGAGCGAGGUGACAACAGCACAGCUCGGCCCCUGCGCUGUAAGCGUGGGAUUCGGAGUUUUGUUUGUUCCAGGGAUGCUUUAAAUUAUCGCAGGCUUCUGCACCAGGCCGUUCCCACUGUGGUGGGCCUGUAUCCCGGGUCUGAAGGGCACACUGUACCGCCCUGCAGUUCUGCAAUCAGAGAAUGCUGGAGGCGUCCGCUACUGCCUGGAUCACCUCGAUGGGGACACGUUGGGGAAGUAUGGAUGCAGAAAGUACUGCCUAGUUCAGAUAUAAUUUCUUCAUCAUCUUCAGAACAUGAAUCAUUGCCUACAGUACAACUGCUUCAAAACCUCCCCGACAUCCUAGUUUCAAUGGGAUUUCUUUUUUCAGUUUAGGUUUAGUUGCAUCCUUUCCACAAUCUCUCCCCCUUAAAACACAUCACACCGAGAUGAUCCACGGCCGCACAUGCAUUCAGUCCCCAUGCCGUGCUUUAGAAGAAGUACAACGACUAAAGCUGAAGCCUACUUUGCACCCUUCGACAUGCAUUCUUCAGUUCUGAGACACUUGAGGGAACAGAUCUCUCUAAAAUAACGUCAACAAAUGAAUGUUAUCCCCGGUACCCGAUGGACAGCAGGGCUGACCGCAGCGAGCCAAAGGGGAAUCGGGUUCAACAUGACUCUUUAUCACAGCACCGCCUGCGUCUCUAAUCCGCGCGGUACAGGCAUGCGGCCAGUGGGUGUUUCCACGUCCACGCGCCCCGCGGCGCAGGAGAGCUGACAGGAAUACAUCCGGUGUGUGUGCGCGCACCACUGUACACACAGCGCCGCUACUCUCCUGCUGCCUUUCACGCCUUUCCCCGGGAAAGAAACGUUUGUGUUGAGCGGAACAGCACCGCGCUGUCGGUCGCUGCUCCCCGCUCCCCUCGGUCCCUCUGGCGAAAACGUUGAAAUACUCGACUGGGGCAGCUAGGGGCCGACUGUGACCUCGACAAUUUCGAAAAACCGGACCCGCCCCACCACAGGCCCCUCUGCCACACCACAGGCCCCGUUAUCACACCACAUGCCCCGGUUCCUGGGCUGCAGCUGGAUGCUACUUCACCGUCGACGGCCCCGCUCCCCCUGGAUCCUCUAGCGGGGAGAGGGAGCUCCUAGCGGUGCGCUGCGGUACUACACUACCAGGAAGGCUUCCUGAGGAAGCAAAUGUCAACCACCACAAUAUCGGAUAGGGCCGUGUACUAUAUUAAUUGAUGCAAUUAAUGUUAGAACAGUACGAUUAUCUAUAGUCUACUUUAAUAUAGGCGUGUUUGAUGAUAUCAUUGAUUUGAUUCAUUAGCCUAAUAUUUUAUAAUCAUAUUUUAUUAUAUAUUUUUAUAGCAUCUCAACCAAUUCUGGGCAUCUCCUACCACUUUAAAAAAAGUUUGUAAAGUUAUUAAUAUUAUUAAAAUUAUUAUUCUCUC